rnacentral:rRNA from 1 species
GGAUGAACGCUAGCGGCAGGCUUAACACAUGCAAGUCGAGGGGUAUAGUAGCAAUACUAGAGACCGGCGCACGGGUGCGUAACGCGUAUGCAAUCUACCUUUUGCAGGGGAAUAGCCCAGAGAAAUUUGGAUUAAUGCCCCAUAGUAUAGUGACUCGGCAUCGAGAUACUAUUAAAGUUACAACGGCAAAAGAUGAGCAUGCGUCCCAUUAGUUAGUUGGUAAGGUAACGGCUUACCAAGACUACGAUGGGUAGGGGUCCUGAGAGGGAGAUCCCCCACACUGGUACUGAGACACGGACCAGACUCCUACGGGAGGCAGCAGUGAGGAAUAUUGGACAAUGGGCGCAAGCCUGAUCCAGCCAUGCCGCGUGCAGGAUGACGGUCCUAUGGAUUGUAAACUGCUUUUGCACAGGAAGAAACAUCCCGACGUGUCGGGACUUGACGGUACUGUGAGAAUAAGGAUCGGCUAACUCCGUG